AGUGAACGCUGGCGGUAGGCCUAACACAUGCAAGUCGAACGGCAGCACAGUAAGAGCUUGCUCUUACGGGUGGCGAGUGGCGGACGGGUGAGGAAUACAUCGGAAUCUACUUUUUCGUGGGGGAUAACGUAGGGAAACUUACGCUAAUACCGCAUACGACCUACGGGUGAAAGCAGGGGAUCUUCGGACCUUGCGCGAUUGAUUGAGCAGAUGUCGGAUUAGCUAGUUGGCGGGGUAAAGGCCCACCAAGGCGACGAUCCGUAGCUGGUCUGAGAGGACGAUCAGCCACACUAGAACUGCGACACGGUCCAGACUCCUACGGGAGGCAGCAGUGGGGAAUAUUGGACAAUGGGCGCAAGCCUGAUCCAGCCAUACCGCGUGGGUGAAGAAGGCCUUCGGGUUGUAAAGCCCUUUUGUUGGGAAAGAAAAGCAGCAGGUUAAUACCCCGCUGUUCUGACGGUACCCAAAGAAUAAGCACCGGCUAACUUCGUG
rnacentral:rRNA from 1 species